UCCUUCUUAGCUCAGUUGGUAGAGCGCGUCACUAGUAUGUCAAUAGCGGUAUCCAUUCUAUGACGAGGUCAGUCGUUCAAGUCGGCUAGAAGGAA